rnacentral:lncRNA from 1 species
AGCCAAAGAACAAAGGGGGAAAGAAUAGAAGAACCCUAAGGAGGAAAAAUUCAAGAGAAAUUCAUUGAAUUUUCGAAAAAUGAAGCGAUCGGAGGUAAGAUUUCACGAUUUAACUUAAGAUCUACCUUACCCAUGCUUUCUUUUUCAUUUUCUAUGGUUGAAACUCAAGUUUUCAUGAUGGAAGCAUGCUGGCUGAAUCAAGGGGGGAAGGUUUUGAGGAUGGGUUUUGCUAGAUCUCAUGUUAUCUAGGCAUUUUUAGUUGUUUGUGAUAUUCGGUGUGAAAAACAAGCAAGAAAACAUGUUCUUUAUAAACCCUAAUUGGCCAAAUUCUAUAGGGAAUAUUUUGAAGAUGAAUUUUGUCAUAUUUCAUGUUAUCUAGCUCGUAUUUGAUGAUUCAUGAUGUUGGAUAUCGAAAACGGUUAUCGAAAAGUAUAGUUCCUUUAGUAAACAACUUGAACAAUAAUGAGAAAAUUAUAGUAAAUGGACUUAGAAUUGAUUUCUAAUGAGGUAUACGGACUUAUUGGAGUACCAAAAGUGCAAUGAAUCUAUUUGGAGUUGAAUUGGAUGUUUUGGCUAAUUAAACAGUGUAUAGUGCGAGUUAGGUCGAAUACCAUUUUAGUCUAACAAUAAUUGAACCUACGUAGAACACCAUCUUUAAGUGAUUAUUCGAACACUUCUCAUUCAAUUUCAUACAUUCAUAAAGAGCCUGAAAUAGUCUUAUAACAGUUUGGCACAAGUGUAUUGAAUUACUUGUUGUGCAUUAUGUAUAGGUGGUGAGCUCUCUAGUAAGGGUAAGGAUAUCGUACUCGAGGAUCGAGAGUAGGAGUACUCCCAUUAUUGUGAGUAAUCAGACAAUCAUCUUAACUAUCUAAAGUAGUUUAUACUCGUUUUUAUGAUUUUAAAGGAUAAUGAACUUAAAAUGUAAACUAUUAUGUUUUAUAACUGAAGUGUUAGUUAAAUGAAAUGAGAUUCAUAAUUUGGUUUGAAAUUGAAUCCUGGUUUUAGAAAUUGAGUAAGUGGAAACAAUAUACUUGUGUUAUAUAUAUGUUUUGAUUAUUGUUAGUUAUGUCGACCCUACUUUACAAUAAAUGUAUCAGCAUAACAGGAUUUGUAAUUGACAUAUGGUUUGAAUUGAUGGCUUAUGACAAUGUGACGGCAUGAAUGGUUGGAUUUGUGUUUGUGUGGAAUAUAUGAACUGUUUUGUUUUACCUUGACAGUCUGGUAAUAUCAUAUUAGCCAUGUCAUACUGCCGAAAUUUUUAUUGAUUUGGUGGGGUAACUGAUUAGCUUACUGCAGUGGGCGAGUUUCCGUGGACCAGCCUAUUAGAGAGGCACGGUAAACCUGUUAUUUUUACCUUAAUAUGAGAGGCGCGGAGGGUAUCUCCUAAGGUAGUUUAGAGUUCACUUCACGUCGAACCACCACGUGAGGGUGAAACUCAGCCAACGUCAAGGAACGGCUACGUUUUUAAACGUAAAAACAUGUUUUAUGUGUAAAUGUUAAUUUAAUAGCCUUGGCGGACUCGAUUGGAUGCCCGACGCAAGGUGCCACCGAGUAUGAGUUUUGGCACGAGUCAAGUUUUAAGAGAGUCAUAAGCCUUACUGAUUAUUUUUGAUGAAAUGUAAUUGUUUUAUAUGGUUGAAAUGAGUUUUAAUGUUUUGAGUCAUAUUAUGAAGAGAUGUUUUAAUUGUCUCCAUUUACUCAGUUUUAGAUGUUAUAGAUAAACUUUGCUUACUCACUGGGUUUAUAAAAACUCACCCCCUUCUUUUCACUCAUUUUAGGUUCAAAGCAGUCUGUAGACAGUCGAUUUUGUCGAGGGUUUGCUUUUGGAUUUGCACCCUUAGAAAUCGUAGGUCUACAGUCCUGUUUAUUUUUGUUAUUUUAGGGCUCACAUGGCAUUGUAAAAUAUUUUUGUAUACCUGGCGCUGUGUGCUAUUAUGUAUAUAAAUUUAUUUUGUUACUACGCUACAGUAAUUGUUUACAUAGAA